CCGCCUGUAAUCCUCCACCUUCAACACCACCAGUCAGGUGGAGGAAGAUAAGAGAACCCAGUUGACAUAAAAAAGUAAGAACAUUUCUAUCUACGCAACAUAACUAAUCAUUUCAAAUAUAGCUGCAGAGAGCUGAGCUGAAAGUUAGAAGCUGUCUGCUGUUCAUGCAUAUUUUCCUCCUUAACUUUAUCUUCUCUCUUUAUUUCAUUUCUCUGUGAACUCAUGUGAUGACUGGAGUUGACCAACAAUUAAAGCAGAAGACCUGCUCCACCUGCUGUUCUACUGGUUGGAAGAGAUUGUGGGAAAGCAUCACUGGACCAAUCAGGCGAGAGAAGACAGAGAGGACUGAGGACUAAAACGAAAAUACUCUGCCUGCCAAAAAAGGCAGACGAUCCAGUGGCCCCAGGUUUACACACCAUCUGCUGGAGAGAAGGAGCAGAAGAAGAAGGAAUGAAUGACUGUUACAUGACAAGUGAAUCUAACACUUACUGCAGCUCCUCUUUUUGAGGCAGACUCAGAUGGAGAAGUGGCAUAAAAAGCAACAGUGGAAACGGGUCAAACCGACAGAUGAGGAGCCGAUCACUUUCAAACUCACACUCACCCCCAUCCGCCUCACCCCCUCCUCCCAUCUGACAGACGCCAAACACUGAGCCUCCCUCAUCGCUAGAGAACCUCCUCGCCUCCAUCACUGUCAGGGACACAAACAUCCUGAAGUGACUGGCUGAGGUGGAUGCAGACACUCUGAGGAUUCCUAAAUUAGAGCCCCGACAAUUGAAAGAUUCAAAGCGUUUGUGUCUCCCAGGUACUCAGAGCAGGUGGAGUGUGUCGUUUUCCAGAAGAGUGAUCUGUGUGUGUGUGUGUGUGUGUGUGUGUGUGUGCAGGAACUACAGUGACUCUGCCCUGCCGUUACGACUACACCCCUCAGGUCACACUGUGAGGCGCGUUAUGCGGUCACCACACCGACCCCAACCAGAUCAGCCCUUCCAGCCGCGCUACACCGGGGGAAGCGAUUCGAGCCGUUCGGCUCAGAUUCGGGGUGUGAAGCUGGGCGAUGCGGGCCAGCGUCACUUCAGGUUUGAGACAGACCGACCGCUGGGGAGAUGGACCUCACCUGACACCAUUACUCUGGAUGUAGCAGCUCGACUCUCCUGCCAAUUAAAACAUCAAUGACUGGACAGUGGACAGCGAGGUUUCUGGUGCCUGGCUGGAGACGAGAUUCUGAUUAUUCAAGAGCCAAAACAAAACGUCAGAAUAAAUAGUUAGAAGGCAGAUUUGUUUUCUAUUUGUUGUUGUUUUCAUCAUUAAUGCUCCACAACACAAAAUUCAUCAGUGCUGUAACUCUUGAGUUGAAUAAAAUGUUCUUCUUUCAAUCUGUUA